CCUACGGGAGGCUGCAGUGGGGAAUAUUGCACAAUGGGCGCAAGCCUGAUGCAGCCAUGCGGCGUGUGUGAAGAAGGCCUUCGGGUUGUAAAGCACUUUCAGCGGGGAGGAAGGCGGUGAGGUUAAUAACCUCAUCGAUUGACGUUACCCGCAGAAGAAGCACCGGCUAACUCCGUGCCAGCAGCCGCGGUAAUACGGAGGGUGCAAGCGUUAAUCGGAAUUACUGGGCGUAAAGCGCACGCAGGCGGUCUGUCAAGUCGGAUGUGAAAUCCCCGGGCUCAACCUGGGAACUGCAUUCGAAACUGGCAGGCUAGAGUCUUGUAGAGGGGGGUAGAAUUCCAGGUGUAGCGGUGAAAUGCGUAGAGAUCUGGAGGAAUACCGGUGGCGAAGGCGGCCCCCUGGACAAAGACUGACGCUCAGGUGCGAAAGCGUGGGGAGCAAACAGGAUUAGAUACCCGGGUAGUC
rnacentral:rRNA from 1 species